GGUGUGGUACUUUAAAUUAAAAGGUUAGGUUUGCAACUUAAAAUUGAGGCUUUGUGGUCUUCCGUGCUA
rnacentral:tRNA from 1 species